rnacentral:lncRNA from 1 species
ACAACCGAUUUUCAUAACACUCGAGUAAGGGUCUUACCCGAAUAUGAUGUCUUUAUUCAUACUUCUGAUGGCACACGCAUUCCAGCUCACACAAGCAUCCUGGUAAUUUCUCUCCCAAUUUUUCAUUCUUUCAUAAUAUAUAUUCUUUUUGCCAACUAAUUCAUUUCUUAAUUAAUAGGCCUCGGUGUCACCGGUUUUCGAGAAUAUUCUAGAACAACCGCGUAAACAACGAAGCUCCGAAAGAAUAAUCAAAAUCAACGGCGUUCCUUCCACCGCCGUAACCGCCUUCAU